rnacentral:pre_miRNA from 1 species
GUUGUACUCCACCUGUCCCGAAUUAGUUGACUCGGAUUUGUCUAAAUACGAAUGUAUCUAGACGUGUUUCAGUGUUAGAUAUAUUUGUGUCUAGACAAAUCUAAGUCAACUAAUUUCGAACCGAGGUUGUACUUG